GGGAGGGAAUCUGCCUUCGGUUUUGAGGUUUGAGAUUGUCCCGACCCGUUAUCCAUCGGUAGAGUCGAUGCGUUGGUCUGGGUGGUUUGGUGUUCCGGACGUUUCCUCCACAGCAUUUUCCAGCACAAUUUUCCAUAUUCAAAGUGUGUUUGUAUGUGUGUGAAGUGGUAAUGAAUAGAUAGGAGCACCGCUCGUCUCCAUCGCUGCAGGUUGUACGGAAUUUAGUUUCUAUUUUAAUCCACGAAUCGACUUUGAUGACCCAUCGACGACCAAGCCGCCGAGCCUGGCCAAAUCGGCCGUGCUUGCCGCGCUCGAGGAGGAGGAACGCGAAAAGUCGCGCGGCACCG